rnacentral:rRNA from 1 species
GCCCUAUGGUGGAGGAUAACCCCGGGAAACUGGGGAUAAUACUCCAUAAGUCAGGAGUACUGGAAUGUCUCCUAACUGAAAGUUGCGGCGCCAUAGGAUGAAUCUGCGGCCGAUUAGGUAGUUGUUGGGGUAACGGCCCAACAAGCCCGUAAUCGGUACGGGUUGUGGGAGCAAGAGCCCGGAGAUGGAAUCUGAGACACGAUUCCAGGCCCUACGGGGCGCAGCAUGCUUUUUUUUUUUUACAAUGCAGGAAACUGUGAUAAGGGAACCCCGAGUGCCCGUAAACGCGGGCUGUCCCGGUGUUUAAAACACAUCGGAAGAAAGGGCCGGGCAAGACCGGUGCCAGCCGCCGCGGUAAUACCGGCGGCUCGAGUGGUGACCACUUUUAUUGGGCUUAAAGCGUUCGUAGCUUGAUUUUUAAGUCUCUUGGGAAUCUCACGGCUUACUGUGAGCGUCUAGAGAUACUGGGAUCUAGGGACCGGGGAGAGGUAGAGGUACUUCAGGGGUAGAAGUGAAUUCUGUAUCCUUGAGGGACCACCC